CUCUGCCCUCUAGGACAUUGCCUUCUGAGAGGACACUGAGUCUAAACUAUGGAAGAGUAAUCUGAUCAGAGUGCUAUAUACUAUACAAGACUUCUUAGAAAGAGAGGCUUGUGGUGAUCCACCAAGAUUUGACACUAUGAGGCUCCAGGGUGCACCUAAACCCAAUUAUCGUCCUGGGGAAUGUGUACAAUAUGAGUGUCGUCUAGGUUUCAAGCCCAAGGUUCCUACUCUCCCGAGAUCUGCUGUUUGUCAAGAUAAUAAUACAUGGUCAUCUCUCCAGGAUGCCUGUGUAGAAAAAUCAUGUCCUAAUGUAGGAGAUCCUGUGAAUGGCCAAGUCAACUUCGUGAAUGGAAGUGCUCUGUUUGGUUCACAGGUUCACUUUACUUGUAA